CCGGGAGGAAGCAACCAACUUCCGGGAAGAUUAUCCCUGGCAGGUCCUGAGGUCCAACUGCUAUAGGCCGGAGUCACCAUGGUUACAGGGCAGAACAUCGUUUUACAAUCAUCGCAACGCUUCCGAUCUAUUAUCAUAGUUGAAGGGUGAUGAUGCAGGGUGAAUGCAUAUUGCAGCUGUGAUUUUCCAGUAUGCAUGAGAAGAAGUUGUUUUACUACAAUCGGACAUCUAUGGCAGUAUUCAUCACGUAAAGAGAAUUCCUUUGUUUUCCCAACUGGUUUCCAAACAAGCAGGAGAAUUAUUUGCUUCUAAUCAGUUGCAGACCUGCUCCAUACGUGCUCUACAAUGAGCAACCGAAGGAAACGAACAGCCCCCAUGCGGGUCGACGAGGAAGCAAAGAAGAGGCUUAGUUGGAACAUGUGUGAUGACCUGACGCAGCUCCAACCACUUUCUGUAACGGAUAGCAGCAACAAUCCUGAGGCUGUAGACACAAAUUUCCCAAAACAGGGAGACACAAAUUUCCCAGAACAGGGAGAGGCAGGGUCUCUCCUGUUGAGCAGUUUGAAAUUGAAUGAAUCAUCAAACAUCUCCACUGUGACUGAGGUUGAGGAUGAAGGGGGGGCUUUGCUGUCAAGUACCUCUGCCCCUCCCAGUCUCACCAUCUUACCAUACCAUCCAGGUAAAGAGUGGCGAGCAGAGUUAAAUCAGUUCACCCUCCAACUUCCAGAAGGCCAAGUAUUUCCAGAUAACAUUUUGUCUGUCACCCUCUGCUUGUCAAAGGCCACUAAUGACCAUCAUUUGAAAGUUUCAGUCAGGAAGGAAUGUGAUGACUCUGAGAGUGAUUGCCAUGAAGAAGUGAUUGGCUCUGUAAGAAGUUCACUCAGUUAUACAGUAUUGGAGGAUAUAUUAUGGCUUCAAAAAAAGAAAGUUCUUGGAUUAUUCCAAAAGAAUAUUGAAGAUUGUCAAACUUUGAAUCAAACAUUGAAGGUUGCUAUAUAUCUACUCGAGUUUGGUUUGGGAAAGCCAGAACACCUGAGUGAAGGAAGUUGGAGAAUGAAAAAGGCAAAUACAUUGAUUCAGAAACUCAUGGAAUACUUUUAUGACAUAGCUGCUCCAGAUGUAUCAACCAUCAUUGAAGAAGCCAAUAAAGAGUUAGAAAGAGAGAAUAUAGAAGAACUAUAUGACUUUGUACGCCAUGCGCAUCAACAGGAAGUCCUCUGCAAUGAGAAGGUCCAGCACUCUCUGCUUGUUCCAACGCUCAGACCGUACCAGUGUCAGGCUGUCAAUUGGAUGCUUCAGAAAGAACAUUAUAAUGUUGAUCCUCCCUCUGACCAGAUGUCCCUUCACUUGUUAUGGAAAGAAAUCACCACUAAAGAUGAGAAGAAAUUAUAUUACAACCCCUACACUGGCUGCAUUAUCCGUGACUGCCCUCUGUCAAGUGCUGACUGGCCUGGUGGAAUCCUUGCAGACGAGAUGGGUCUAGGAAAAACUGUGGAGAUGCUGGCACUAAUUCUGACCCACAAGCGUAAAGAUUUGAAGGAAGACACAUUAUCAUUCCCAGAGGGAAAAUCGACAAACUACUACAUCCCACCUUCACUGCCUCACACCUCCUGUAGAACAAGUGAGAAGAAAAGUGAAAUCAAGCCCAAGGAAAAGGUGACCUGCCCUAGUCUUCGAGUAAUGAUAAUUACUGCUAUAAAGGAAAUGAAUGUGAGGAAGUCGACCUCUGUCAGUGCCAUAUACAAAUACAUCAAUGCUACCUACAACUAUGACAUCCAACGGAAUCGCCAUCUCAUCAAGAAAACCUUAGCAAAACUAAUUGCAGAGCAAGUGAUUAAACAGGUCAAAGGUCAUGGCUUAGCUGGUUCAUUCAUUAUUGGAAAGAAUUACAAAGAACAAACAAAAAGAAAAGGAACAGAAAAACAGAAGCUAAGCCCUGGGAAAAGCCUAUUGCCCAUUUUUGUGAAUAACAAGCAGGAGAUCAAAACAGAAGAAACUGAUCCUGCUUUGAAUGCAACAGGCACUGGCAAACCAUCGGCAAUCGAUAUCCCUGAUUGUCUUUUGGAAAAUGAAAAGAACAAUUGUAAUGAAACUGAGCCAUGCAAGAAGGAAGUGGAACCACCAAAAGUACCUCAGGAAUUUGAUCUGAAAGAGGAGACUCAUGAUGGUCGCUUAGAUUUUUUGCUGUCUGGACAAGAGAUUACAGAAAAUAAUGAAACUGGUAAAAUAAGGGAAAGUUGUUUUACCUCAAGUAAGGUGCCAAUAAAUGAUAAAAGAUCCCCAAAUGUCCUCCAGGAAAAUUCGCAAGAUACUGACAGAACACAGUCAUCUAAAAUGACUUCUCCCUACAACAAGUCGAAGUGUCAUUUUGAAUGCAUAUGCGGUGAAAGUGGAUUGGCUGAUUAUAAAGCACGGAUUCAGUGCCUGAAUUGCCACUUGUGGCAGCAUGCUACUUGUGUGAAUUACAAGGAAGACGACCUAAGUAUCAGGCCAUUCUACUGCCCCCAUUGCCUGGUCAAGAUGAAGCCUGUGUCCACAUCUGCAACCCUCAUUAUCUCCCCCAGUUCCAUCUGCCACCAGUGGGUGGAUGAAAUUAACAGGCAUGUGAGAUCAUCUUCAAUUUCUAUCCUGGUGUACCAAGGAGUGAAGAAACAUGGUUUUAUACAACCUCAUGCACUAGCAGAGCACGAGAUAGUUAUCACAACAUAUGAUGUACUUCGAACAGAGCUGAAUUAUGUUGACAUACCUCAUAGUAACAGUGAUGAUGGACGUCGGUUACGCAAAGAGAAGCGCUACAUGGCCAUUCCAAGCCCACUAGUUGCGGUGGAGUGGUGGAGGAUCUGUCUGGAUGAGGCUCAAAUGGUUGAGUGUGCCACUGCUAAGGCUGCCGAAAUGUGUCUACGAUUGACUGCCAUUAAUCGUUGGUGCGUCACAGGAACACCUGUCCAAAGGGGCUUGGAAGACUUGUAUGGAUUAAUACUCUUUCUAGGUGUCGACCCAUAUUGGGUUAAACACUGGUGGGACCAACUCUUAUACCAACCAUACUGCAGAAAGAAUCCCAUUCCAAUCUACACACUCAUAGCAAAGAUCAUGUGGCGAACGGCAAAAAAGGAUGUUCUUGAUCAGAUCAAGAUACCUCCUCAGACCGAGGAAGUUCAUUGGCUAGAAUUUUCACCAGUGGAAAGACACUUCUACCAUCGACAGCAUGAAAUUUGCUCCCAAGAUGCAUUGCAGAAGCUGAGAAUGAUUUUUGAUUGGAGCAUCAAGUUGAGCCAACUUGAUAGACGCACAGUUGGUUCUAUUUUGUAUCCCUUGUUGAGAUUAAGGCAGGCAUGCUGUCAUCCACAGGCUGUUCGAGGAGAGUUCCUUCCAAUACAGAAGAGCACCAUGACAAUGGAGGAACUCUUAAAGUCUCUUAAGAGAAAAUGUUCCACGGAAUGUGAAGAGGCUCAUCGGCAGCUGGUGUGUGCUCUCAAUGGGCUGGCCGGUAUUCAAAUUAUCAAAGGUGAGUUUUCUUCAGCAGCAGAAUAUUACAGAGAAGUUCUGCGUUCAUCCGAGGAGCACAAAGAUAAACUUCAUACAGAUUCUUUACAACGUCUCCAUGCCACUCACAACCUCAUGGAACUGCUUGAGGCAAAGCACCCAGGGAUCCCACCAACUCUUCGAGAUCACAAGCUUAAAGAAGAAGCUGAGCAACUUAAACAGCAUUACAUGAGCAAAUCAGAUUUGGAAGUCUCGACAGCACAGCAAGCUUUACAGCCAGUUCAACAGAAUAUUCAAGAAUUGCAGCGCAAGAUUCAUUCUGGAGCUCCUUGGUGGCUGGGCAUUAUUGAAUGUGUACAGCAGGCUGGUCUGCAUGAAGAAUUAGCGCUUAGGGUGCAAAAUGAAAUCUCAUCCAGCUAUAAACAAGAGGGCAGCAAGCUCUCCAUGUCUGAAAAGUUCCGGGACUGCAGAGGCCUUCAGUAUUUACUGGCAGUGCAAAUUGAAGAGUUGAAGAAAUCCCAGAAGGCGGUGCAGGAUUCAAUUAAGAAAUUGGUAGGCGCUCCAUCUCAAGAAGAAAUCCGAAUUGCCACAAUGUGCCAUCUUCGUCCAGUUCGAUUUCCCCUGAACAAUUGUCAGUUCUGUAAGGCAGAUGAACUAUUCACAGAUUAUGAAUCCAAGCUUUUUUCACACAGUGUUAAAGGUCAAAAAGCAAUCUUUGAAGAGAUGAUUGAAGAUGAGGAAGGUCUGAUAGAUGAUCGCUUACCUACCACUAGCCGGGGAUUGUGGGCUGCGAGUGAGACUGAACGUGCCUUAAAAGCCGUCCUAGCCUUUGGAAAAGCACACCGUAUCGAUACCUUGCUAAUAGAAGAAGGAAACAACUUCAUGGAACUGUUUGAAGCUUGGAAAAAGGAAUAUAAGUUGAUGCAUGAAUAUUGGAUGACACUGCGUGAUCGUGUUUCUGCUAUUGAUGAGUUAGCCAUGGCAACUGAACGUUUUCAACUGCGUCUUCCAGGUGAUCCCAAACCAAGUGUUCCACUUCUUCAUGUCAUCGAACCACAUGAGGUGGAACAAAAUCAAAUGAAACUCCUCAAUGACAAAGCUGUGGCCACAUCACAAUUGCAGAAGAAACUUGGUCAAGUCCUGUACCUCACAAAUUUGGAGAAGUCUCAGGAUCCAUCAAUGGGCAGCUUUAAUCCAGACCCCUGUCCCAUCUGUGCACGGCAAUUAGGACAACAGUGGGCAGUAUUGACAUGUGGACAUUGCUUCUGUAGUGACUGCAUUGCCAUUAUAAUAGAACAGUACAGCACAGGGGCUCAGCGAAGCUCUAUCAAGUGUGCUAUUUGCAGGCAGACAACAACACACAAAGAGAUUUCCUAUGUAUUCACAAAUGAGGCUGCAGACAAGGAAGAUGAGUUCCCUGUUAAGGGUAGCCAUUCUACUAAAGUGGAGGCUGUGCUCAGGGCACUGAAGAAAAUCCAGCAGAGGGAGCCUGGGGCCAAGGCCCUUGUAUUUUCCACUUGGCAAGAUGUGCUGGAUAUAAUUGGGAAAGCAUUGUUGGACAAUGACAUGGAAUUUGUUCAGAUCAAUGGACUCCACAAGUUCCAGGAGAAUCUGUCAGCUUUUAAAUAUGAUUCCAAGGUAAAUAUCUUGCUGCUGCCUCUCCACACAGCAUCAAAUGGUUUAAACAUCAUUGAAGCCACAUAUGUCCUCUUGGUAGAACCUAUUUUAAACCUUGCCCAUGAACUACAAGCAAUAGGGAGAGUGCAUCGCAUUGGACAAACAAAGCCAACGGUUGUUCAUAGGUUUCUAAUUAAGGGGACAAUAGAGGAGAGGAUGCAAAGCAUGCUCAAGAGUACUGAGAAAAGUCAUAACAAGUCAGUAAUUGUACAAUCAGAAGCAUCUGUGCUGACAGUGGGGGACCUAGCUGAUCUCUUCUCUGAAGAAGAAAGGACUACAGAUGGAUGAAGGAAGAUCACUACCUAUGCACUAAGAGAUACAGCAUGGUCGCAGGCCCAACGAGCCCACACUGCCCAAUUACACUCAUGGGACCAGAUGACCUACUAACCCAUAUGUGUUUGGAAUGUAGGAGGAAACCGGAGCACCGAGAGGAAAACCACAUGGUCACGGAGAGAACAUACAAACUCCUUACAAUUAGUGGUGGAAUUGAACCCAGGUCACUGGUGCUGUUACCAUAGCCACCACACUACUGUGCCAUCAUUUUCACUUUUUAUUCCACACUUGUCAUAUUUGAUCACUAUUGCAGAGCCGUUGUUAAAGGGAUACGUGCACUAAAGAGUAAAUAAAUUAAUGUUUUGUUGAAUUUAAUGAGUAGUUAAUACAUACAGCAAAUAUGCUUUUUCAUGAAUGUGGGGGAGAUCUAAGGUGGAGAAGCAGUUUUAAGUGGAACUAGUGGCGAAAUCAAGUUUCUGGACGUUCAUGGUUAGUCAUGCACUUCAACAUUAGAGAUUGCUGUGCCAUUUAUCCAUAAAUUGUAGCAAGUACUAAUAACCUUUGAUGUUAUUUGCAUUCAAACUCUUUUGAUGGUUGCAUUGUGUUAACCCUCUCAGCUGCAAUGUUUCUGGUACAAAGAGCUAAAUUGUUUUUUUCUCUUUCCCUGUUCUAAUGAAGGGUACUGUACCUGAAACGCUAAUGAUUUUUUUUCUCCCCGUUGUUGCCACCUGAUCUGCUGACUGGUUCCUGCACUUUUUGUUUUUAGUGCAGAUUUCCACUCUUUGCAGGAGGAGUUGACAGAAUUGUGGGUGGAAUAAAAUUAGAUUAAUGUACAUGAUUAAUUUGCUUGUUGAUUGGUAUGCUGAAAAGCUGCUUCUGUAUGCUGUACCUCUCUGACAUUAAAUACUGCCAUUUUCUAUCUUCAUACUUUGGAAUCUGCACAUACCUAUGACAUCAGAAUUUUUUGUCAGAGAUAUGUGGCUCUUGCAGAUAGAAAUCUUUUUGAAACUACUAAAUUGAUAAUUGACUUUAUAUUUUUAUAAGUUGAUCUUUAUGUAAAAUGCCUUGGGGGAAAAAGUUGAACCUUGUCAAUUGAAUCACCAAGACUUCGAAGUUCGAAGUAAAUUUAUUAUUAAAAUAUGUAUAUAUAAUCAUAUCCUACCCUGAGAUUCAUUUUCUUUGUACAGGCUUGGUUCAGCUGAUCGUAUUGUUUACUGUUCAUCAGAAGUUUAAUGCCACCCACCCCCUCCAGGGACAAUAUGGUGAAAGUACUACCCUGUGUCAGGUGUUUCAGGUAUGAGGUUAAACUGAGGCUCACUCUGCCCUCACAAGUGGACUUCAAAUAUCCUGUGCAGUCUACCCAACGAAUUAUACAGCUGCAACAUAACGUCCCAACUCCUGUACCCAAACUGGUGAAGGUCUAGCAUGCUAAACAUCUCCUUCACCAUCCUGUUUACCUGUGAUGCUGAUUUCCACAAACCACGUGCUUGUAUUCCUCAGUCCAUCUGUUUCAUUACUCUCCCUGGUGCCUAAUCAUACACAUCAUACACUUGUUGACUUUCCUAAAUACAACAGCUGACCCUUAUCUGUAAUGAAAUUUAUUUGCCAUUCCUUGGCCCACUUCUCUAACUGAUCAAAAUUCCCUUGUAACCUUCUUCAUUAUUAACAAAUGGAGUUUGUUAUUCUGAGCCCUACCUGUGCAAAAUUGGUGUUUGGUUCUGAGAUGUAUGAUCUGCCGAGUAGAAUUUUUUCUUUGUACAUUGCUAUCAUGUGAUCUAGUUUCACUUUAACUGAGCAAAAGCCACUUGAUACCCAUUAACAGCUUCUCUCUUAAGCUAAUUCUUCUGUAAAUUUUUCUUUCUUUUCAGUCAUACACUGUGUAAUCAUUCCAGCAAUAAUUUGUAAAUUUCUGUUUUAGUAAUUAUAUGUCCUGCUUAAUAUGUGGAUAUAUUGAUCAGGGCAAACCACUGAGGAAUUGUGAGAGACAAGUAUUUUUAAACCAAUAAGGGCCUCCGUGGACAGAGCCAGGCAGGAUGUCCACCUGCUUACCUAAGGAGAGCAACAUGUUUCAUUGCCAAGUACUAGUCCUGCAGUCAUCAGACCAUCACCUCACCACCGUGGAUCAUUGGAUAUGACUGGCAUGAGCUCUGGUCACUCAAGGUUUAAUUGCUAAGUUCUCAUUUGGCUUCAGAGUUCUAUCCAGUGGCCAUCAAUGAUGUUGUUUAACUGGCAUUUUAAGCAAUAAUUAGUCCUGAACUCCUCUGUGGUUCGGAAAAAAAAACUGAGUUUCAUUCUGGGAGUAUCAUUUUGAAAGAAACAAUAUCAAAAAUUCCAUGUUUUUUAUGUUUAUUAUUAUUUAAAGCUUUAGGACAUUUUUGUUUCAGGUGAUACAUUUGAUUGAGAACAAAUAAAGAUUAAAAUAUUCAUUAAAAAGUCAAAUUUCUAACUUUCUGGCAUGCUCUCUGAUAAUUGUUCAGUAUGAUUGAUUGCUCAGUUGCUGGGUUCAAGGAAUCCCCUAUUGCAAAUAUCUAGCAGCAAGUAACAUCGAAAGAAGCCUAUAAUGUUAUAUACCUAAGUUUUUCUGCAGUAUUAUAAGCAAAAGAAAUUUCACUUCUUAUUGUAAAGCCUGGAAAAUUCAGUGGUGGUAAGUUCAGUACCAAAGCUUUCAUUCUUACAUGAGGAAAGGUCGGAAUACAUGUUAUAAACCUGUUAUUUUAUUCUCCUUCAUGAUGUUACAAAGAGCCAAUAGACAAAUUCCCAUAUUCACAUUUUUAAAAUACAAUCAUCCCUGAGAUUGCUAUGUUCUUUGUCACAUACAUUUAACCCUACUAAAAUUUAAUUUUAUAAUAUAUAUUAGGAAGAAUUUACACACUCAAUACAUAUUCAGACUAGCUUCAGAAAAGACUAUCUUCAGAUUGCUGUUUUGGAUGAGAUAGGAACAUUUAGAAUAGACUAGGGCAACAUUUUUGGGUGAUUAAAAUGUUGGUGUUGAUAAAGUUUGAGUGGUUGGGAGCUAGAUGCUAAUGAAAUGUUGAAUAAAAAAAACUUGCAUUUUAUGCAGAAAUUUUUACAUCAAUACAGUGUUCCAACUGUGUUACAAUCAAUGAACUAUUUUUCAAUUAUAUGAAAAUCAAAAUUUUUAAAAACUGCAGAUAUUAGAAAUCUAAAAUAAAAAGGCAUAUAAUGCUAGAACACAUCAGAUGCAGGUGAAACAGUUAAUGUUUCAGUUUAAAGACUCCUUGUCAGAAGGUUUGGGAAGGAGAGAAGUUUAUUAAGCUACAGGGAGGAUUGUGGAGAAGGAUGUCUUGGUGGAAUGCAACACUAAUUUGGAAGAAAUAGCUGAAUCACUACUUCAGCUGGAAAGACUGGGUCCCUGGAUUGUGGGAAGAAAAGGGGUGAUAAGUUUUGCAUGACUUGCAUUUCCUGUUCAUUUCACUCCACAGAUUCUGCCUGACUGCUGAGUUCCUCGAGCAGUAUUUUUAUAUAUUGAGGAAGAUUAGGUGACAUAUAGAAUUAUUUCCAGUUAUUUCAGAUUGUAUCAAGAGGACAUUUAUUGUUAAUGAUCAGCCAGUACCAUCCGAAAUGGCGGAAAGUAUUGAGGGACUGUUUAUCCCCACUGAUAUCAGAUGAUUUGAAGACACAAGAGACUGCAGAUGUUGGAAUUUGGAGCAACAAGGUGCUUUUGCUUUUCUGCAAAGGCUUGAAUCCCCUCAGCCCAAUCAUCUCAGUGGAUAUGGGUUUAGGUUCAAGAGUGGCACGAGCAUUAGCUACUUACAGCUGACAUCAAGCUGUAUGCCAGAAAUGAAAGAGAUGUUGACUCACCAAUCCACCUGACAAGGGUAUACAGCAGAGACAUUGGGAUGUCUCUUGGGCUGGAAAAGUGCAGCCGGAUGGUAGUGAAAAGAGACAAACUCAUCAAGACUGAAGGCCACAUACCAGAUGUACAGGACAGCUAAAAAUAUGUCUUUGGAAUGUGGGAGGUAAUUGGAAACCUAUAUGGUUAUGGGAGGAACAUUCAGGUUCCUACAAACAACAGUGGGAACAGAAUCCAGAUGAGAGGUCACCGGUUCUGAAAACGUUAUGUUGAGCUCUAUGCUACUGUGCUGCCCAUACAACUACACUACUGUAGCUCCUCAUUUACAGCAGAUUUUACACAAGCUCUAAAUUUAUUGAUCGUGCUUUAUUGUUUCAACUCAAAUUUUUAGCUGAUCAUGUUUCUGUAGCCAAAGAGUCUGCUACCAAAUGAGCUUAAAUUAAUGCUGCUCUGGGAUGUGAACAUGUGAACUCACAUCUCUGGUUCACUGUGCUUUGUUUUCACUUCAACUGUUAAGUGUGUGAAUCAAGCUUACAACUCAUUCACAGAGCUGUAAGCUUGAAUCUUUUAUGCAUGUGCCCUCCCUGCUGCCAGGGUAAGUUCGUGCUCAAUUCAGCAAUUGGCAAUUAGAAAGUAUAUGGGAACCUCUAGAAAAACUGGAGAACCAAUUAUAGCUAUAUAGGAAGUUCUCAAAAAACUACAGUCAUUAUGCAUAUAAGAUCUUCAUUUUCUCAUUCCCCAUAUGCUUAAUACAGUCCCAUUAUUUUACAAUGAAAGCACAUUGAAAUGAGUCAGAUGUUCAAAGCAGGACCUUCAAAUAGAGACAAUUUGUUAGAAAGAUACUAUUGGAAACCACUGUUGUCUUAAUAAUACUUUUUAGAAGAUUUGACCUUUUUAUUAAAGUUGUAACUAAUUCAUGUGUUUUUCACAGUAUGUGGUGGCUUGUCCCUACUUACUGGCGGAAAGCAAUAUAGCUGUUAAGUUAAUGGUUUUUCACUUUUCUCAUAUUUCAUUGGCUAAGUAUUAACACAUUAUCCAUGAUUGUACAACUGGUUUAGAUAAUCUAAGGAAUUUCUCUUAUUCCCACUAUUAAAGUGGUGGCUUUUUCAGAGGCGCCAUCUUUCUUUUCUUUUAUCUUAGGCUUCUGACUGCUUUUCAUUCAUCUUAGCUUCAUUUCUCAGCUCUUUAUUUAGUUUGCUUAGUAUUUGUAUGUUAGCUUGUACUUUAAAAUAAAUGAUUGUUAAGAAUUUAA